rnacentral:rRNA from 1 species
CCAGACUCCUACGGGAGGCAGCAGUGAGGAAUAUUGGUCAAUGGGCGAGAGCCUGAACCAGCCAAGUCGCGUGAAGGAUGACGGCCCUACGGGUUGUAAACUUCUUUUGUCAGGGAGCAAUUGGGUCCACGCGUGGGCUUAGCGAGAGUACCUGAAGAAAAAGCAUCGGCUAACUCCGUGCCAGCAGCCGCGGUAAUACGGAGGAUGCGAGCGUUAUCCGGAUUUAUUGGGUUUAAAGGGUGCGUAGGCGGGCUGUUAAGUCAGCGGUCAAAUGUCGGGGCUCACCCCCGGCCUGCCGUUGAAACUGGCGGCCUCGAGUGGGCGAGAAGUAUGCGGAAUGCGUGGUGUAGCGGUGAAAUGCAUAGAUAUCACGCAGAACCCCGAUUGCGAAGGCAGCAUGCCGGCUUCCGACUGACGCUGAAGCACGAAAGCGUGGGGAUCGAACAGGAUUAGAUACCCGAGUAC